rnacentral:rRNA from 1 species
CGGAGGGUGCAAGCAUUAAUCGGAAUUAUUGGGCGUAAAGGGCGCGUAGGCGGGAUUAAAAGUCAGAUGUGAAAUUCCGAAGCUCAACUUCGGAGCCGCAUUUGAAACUGCAAUUCUUGAGGGAUGGCGGAGGAAACGGAAUUCCACGUGUAGCGGUGAAAUGCGUAGAUAUGUGGAAGAACACCUGUGGCGAAAGCGGUUUCCUAGCUUUUACCUGACGCUGAGGCGCGAGAGCAAGGGGAGCAAACAGGAUU